rnacentral:rRNA from 1 species
GACGAACGCUGGCGGCGUGCCUAAUACAUGCAAGUCGAGCGAAGUGGAGAGAGCUUGCUCUCAAAGCUUAGCGGCGAACGGGUGAGUAACACGUGGGCAACCUGCCUGACAGACCGGGAUAACUUGGGGAAACUCAAGCUAAUACCGGGUAGGAUCUCAAAUCGCAAGGUUUGAGAUGGAAAGUCUGAACGACACUGUCAGAUGGGCCCGCGGCGGAUUAGCUGGUUGGUGGGGUAAUGGCCUACCAAGGCGACGAUGAGUAGCCGAACGGAGAGGGUGACCGGCCACACGGGGACUGAGACACGGCCCAGGCUCCUACGGGGGGCAGCAGUAGGGAAGCUUCCACACUGGACGAAAGUCUGGUGGAGCAACGCCGCGUGAGUGAUGGAGGUUUUCGGAUCGUAAAACUCUGUUGUUAGGGAAGAACACCCGGGAGAGGAUCCCGGAUUGACGGUACCUGACGAGAAAGCCCCGGCUAACUACGUGCCAGCAGCCGCCGUAA